CCAUGAUGACCUAGACAUUCUAAACAGUUAUCCCUAUCUGAAAUUAUGGUGUUGACUUGGUUCUAACUUCUGAU
rnacentral:misc_RNA from 1 species